rnacentral:rRNA from 1 species
CGAAUGCUGACAUAAGUAACGAUAAAGCGGGUGAAAAGCCCGCUCGCCGGAAGACCAAGGGUUCCUGUCCAACGUUAAUCGGGGCAGGGUGAGUCGACCCCUAAGGCGAGGCCGAAAGGCGUAGUCGAUGGGAAACAGGUUAAUAUUCCUGUACUUGGUGUUACUGCGAAGGGGGGACGGAGAAGGCUAUGUUGGCCGGGCGACGGUUGUCCCGGUUUAAGCGUGUAGGCUGGUUUUCCAGGCAAAUCCGGAAAAUCAAGGCUGAGGCGUGAUGACGAGGCACUACGGUGCUGAAGCAACAAAUGCCCUGCUUCCAGGAAAAGCCUCUAAGCAUCAGGUAACAUCAAAUCGUACCCCAAACCGACACAGGUGGUCAGGUAGAGAAUACCAAGGCGCUUGAGAGAACUCGGGUGAAGGAACUAGGCAAAAUGGUGCCGUAACUUCGGGAGAAGGCACGCUGAUAUGUAGGUGAAGUCCCUCGCGGAUGGAGCUGAAAUCAGUCGAAGAUACCAGCUGGCUGCAACUGUUUAUUAAAAACACAGCACUGUGCAAACACGAAAGUGGACGUAUACGGUGUGACGCCUGCCCGGUGCCGGAAGGUUAAUUGAUGGGGUCAGCGCAAGCGAAGCUCUUGAUCGAAGCCCCGGUAAACGGCGGCCGUAACUAUAACGGUCCUAAGGUAGCGAAAUUCCUUGUCGGGUAAGUUCCGACCUGCACGAAUGGCGUAAUGAUGGCCAGGCUGUCUCCACCCGAGACUCAGUGAAAUUGAACUCGCUGUGAAGAUGCAGUGUACCCGCGGCAAGACGGAAAGACCCCGUGAACCUUUACUAUAGCUUGACACUGAACAUUGAGCCUUGAUGUGUAGGAUAGGUGGGAGGCUUUGAAGUGUGGACGCCAGUCUGCAUGGAGCCGACCUUGAAAUACCACCCUUUAAUGUUUGAUGUUCUAACGUUGACCCGUGAUCCGGGUUGCGGACAGUGUCUGGUGGGUAGUUUGACUGGGGCGGUCUCCUCCUAAAGAGUAACGGAGGAGCACGAAGGUUGGCUAAUCCUGGUCGGACAUCAGGAGGUUAGUGCAAUGGCAUAAGCCAGCUUGACUGCGAGCGUGACGGCGCGAGCAGGUGCGAAAGCAGGUCAUAGUGAUCCGGUGGUUCUGAAUGGAAGGGCCAUCGCUCAACGGAUAAAAGGUACUCCGGGGAUAACAGGCUGAUACCGCCCAAGAGUUCAUAUCGACGGCGGUGUUUGGCACCUCGAUGUCGGCUCAUCACAUCCUGGGGCUGAAGUAGGUCCCAAGGGUAUGGCUGUUCGCCAUUUAAAGUGGUACGCGAGCUGGGUUUAGAACGUCGUGAGACAGUUCGGUCCCUAUCUGCCGUGGGCGCUGGAGAACUGAGGGGGGCUGCUCCUAGUACGAGAGGACCGGAGUGGACGCAUCACUGGUGUUCGGGUUGUCAUGCCAAUGGCACUGCCCGGUAGCUAAAUGCGGAAGAGAUAAGUGCUGAAAGCAUCUAAGCACGAAACUUGCCCCGAGAUGAGUUCUCCCUGACCCUUUAAGGGUCCUGAAGGAACGUUGAAGACGACGACGUUGAUAGGCCGGGUGUGUAAGCGCAGCGAUGCGUUGAGCUAACCGGUACUAAUGAACCGUGAGG